rnacentral:rRNA from 1 species
AUUGAACGCUGGCGGCAGGCCUAACACAUGCAAGUCGAGCGGAGCGGCGGACGGGUGAGUAAUGCCUAGGAAUCUGCCUGGUCGUGGGGGAUGACGUCCGGAAACGGGCGCUAAUACCGCAUACUAGCAGAUGAGCCUAGGUCGGAUUAGCUAGUUGGUGGGGUAAAGGCCUACCAAGGCGAAGAUACGUAACUGGGCUGAGCGGAUGAUCAGUCACACGGGAACUGAGACACGGUCCAGACUCCUACGGGAGGCAGCAGUGGGGAAUAGUGGAAAAUGGGCGAAAGCCUGAUCCAGCCAUGCCGCGUGUGUGAAGAAGGUCUGCGGAUUGUAAAGCACUUUAAGUUGGGAGGCGUUACCAACAGAAUAAGCACCGGCUAACUUCGUGCCAGCAGCCGCGGUAAUUC